UGCCCCGCCACCCUCGAAGACCUGCGCUCCCGGAGCACCGGAGUCUGCAGAGGUGCCGAGGGCCUCGCCCCGGGCCCUGAGAGUCCAAUACCCCAAGUUCUUUCUCUACUGUCUGCUCCCGCCCGAGGCCCACAACCUUUACACCACCUCACAGAAAUCACAGCCUGACGAAGUGGGAAGGUAACUGGAGGUCAUCAGUCCAACCCCCAAGUUCAUGGAAGAAUGCCCUGAGGCUCAGAGGCUCAGCAACUCACAUCAAGCUGGGGGCAGAGGUGGAUCGAGAACCCAGCCUCCUGCCUUACAGCCAGCCCCACCAGCCAAGGAGAUUCUGCAGAAGCUAUUCCACCCCCUUGAAGACAGGCGUCAGUACUGAAAACAGUCCUGGAAACAACAACCCGAGAAUACUGGCUACAGUCUAGGGAAGGCAGCAGCCAAAAUAAUUGUCCAAGUCUCUCUCAAUAACCCAUAAAGGAAAAUGCUUAUCAUAAGGACUACAAACACAUUCACAUUGGAUGACAUGGAGAUGUGGCUGUCUCAGACCAACAGUGCAGAUUUCAUAACAGAAAUUACAUUAAAGAGCAUGAAAGUCAUUGCUGGCAGGCACAACGCCCACCCAGCCAGGCUUACAGGUGGUAAUGUGAUUGUCCUGAGCUAAAAGAACUCCAAACAAUAAGAAUAAAUAAAUAAACUUAAAGCUACAGAAAAGGGUGGAAAAUAAUGCCAUGAAACUCAAUCAGACCACCCCAAGAUCAGAAUUUAACAGCAUGCUGCCAUAUUGGCAUUUGUGUGUGCGUUUUUCUUAAGAAAUAAAACAUUUCAAAAAAAAAUAAUAAAACAUUUCAGAGAAA